CUUCAUGAUGAAUAUAAAAUGACAAGCAUAUGGCUGAAUUGCAGUGAUGUCAGCUCACUACUGAGAAG
ensembl:snoRNA SNORD27 Small nucleolar RNA SNORD27